ensembl:lincRNA
CCCGCAUCCGGCUCUGCUCAGCAGGGAGCUUGCUUCACUCUCUUUCUGCCUGCCUCUGCCUACUUGUGAUCUGUCUCUGUCAAAUAAAUAAAUAAAAUCUUAAAAAACAAAACAAAACAAAAAGAUGGCUUCUUGCAUUUGGAGAGUCUGCUGGAGCUGGUUCCAGAUCCAGAUCCAGAGCAUUCUCUUACUUUCUGAGCCAGAGGCUGGGGGUCCGAGUUGGGAUGCGGGCCUGUGGGGCUUGCUGUUGGGCACAGCGCAGAAGACCACCUCCCGAAGACCUAGGGAUUCUGCACAGAACAUGUCUGGUCUGAGAACUCACUGCGAGAGUGAAGGCUCCACCCUAUCGGAGAGACGAUCAGGCCACCACCAGACCCAGGGCUCCAAACCGGGGGUUUGCAACAGGCCUAGCUCACAACUGGUCUCGAGCAGAAGUAAGAAGGAAACACCCCUACCCCAACCCCAACCCCAGGCCAUGGAGCAGGCUCUGCUGUGCACAAGGGCCUGUGGGUGUCCUGGCAGACAGAUGAGGUGGCACGGGGAGCGGGCACUGAGGUGCCAGGGCCUCCUGGGGAGGAACAGGUGCAAAGCAGGGCCAUUAGCUGAGAGGGCGUGGGAGAGGCAGGCCACUGCCAUCCGAUCCAGGAAGCCCCCAGGACUGCAUCGUCUGCUGAAAACCAUAGACUUUUUAGAGAGACGGCAGGCUCAGUGUCCUCAUCGGUAACGGGCAACCGCGGGGUCAUCCUGAGGAUAAAUGAAAUAAAUCGUGUAAGUGCUUGGAGUAGCUGGUGCUCGGGCUUUGUUAGUCACUGUCGUUAUUGUUCAUAACAGUACUGGUAAUAUCACUUCAUGACUUGCCAUGAGCUGUCAGCCCCUUGAGGGUAGGGCUAGUGCCCGCUCUGUUCAUUGUCCUGCACCCAGAGCCUAGGGAUGUUUGGCACAUGGUGCGCACUCGUUUCCUAGCUGGCGAAUGAAUCAGUAAGAAGGAGGUGUUCGCCUCCUCCUUGCUCUUGUGAGCUCCUGAGGAUGGGCCCUUAUCUGACCCGCUUCUGUAUUUCUAAUGUCACCACUUCAUCUGUCAGAACCCGAGAGCUCAGCGACUGUGGAACACAUGAACAUGGUGGUGAGAUGCUGUCGCUCAGCCGGGGCCUGGCCCGGAGUCUGGGGGUGCGCCCAGCUCCAUGCUCUGGUCGGCUGGUGGUUAGCUCCCGCUCCAUGAAUUCAGUAAAUCUUCCCUUGACACUCCACCCCUGGAUGGUGAGCUCACGAUGGGGAUUGUGUCUUGUUGAUUUUUAAGUCCUUAGUGUCUAACACAGCACCUGGCAUACAGGAAAUGAUCAAAUGGCCACCCAUGGACACUUAGGUCCAACGAGACUCAAAGGAAAACCUGAGUCCAGAAGGAAUUUGUCACACACACCCCCCCCAUCACCUUCCAAACCUGUUCUUCCCUUAGAAGUGCCCCAUGUCUGUUGAUUAAAGACCUGGUUUCUGGAAUGCCUGGGUGGCUCAGUUGGUUGAGCGACUGCCUUCAGCUCAGGUCAUGAUCCUGGAGUCCCAGGAUCUAGUCCCGCACUGGGCUCCCUGCUUGGCGGGGUGUCUGCUUCUCCCUCUGACCCUUCUCCCUCUCGUAUAUUCUCUCUCAUUCUCUCUCUUUCAGAUAAAUAAAUAAAACCUUAAAAAAAAAACAAACAAAAAAAACCUGGUUUCUUGGGGCACCUGGCUGGCUCAAUUCAUAGAGCAUGUGACUCUCGAUCUCAGGGUGGUAAGUUCAAGCCUCUACUUUGGGUGUAGAGAUUACUUAAAAAAUAAAAUCUUAAAAAAAAACAACAACGACAACAAGAAAAGUCAUGAUUUCUUUGUUACCAAGGUCUAAAACUCCUCGGGGGUGCUAUAUCCUAAUGGAGAAGAACCGUCUUUAUGGUCAGACUUUUCUGGGCUUGAAUCCUAGCUUUGUCCACUACUGGCUGCCCCCUGGACAAAUUGUUUACCCCUUCUGUUCCUCAGUUUCUGCUUCCAUCAAAUCAGGAUUAUAAUACUAUCCAUCCAUUCAGUAAACAUUUAUUGGGUAUCUGUAUGUGGUCGGAAAUAUCCUAGGCUCUAGAAAUACAUAGAUGUGAACCCAACAAACAUUGCUCGUGUCUGGAUGGCAAAUUCUAACCUAGAGAGGGAGGGAGAGAGAGGCUAGGCUAAUAAGGCAGUAAACAAACGUAUGUCCAAUGUAUGUCCAGUGGUGAUAUGCGGUGUGAAGGGAAAGGCAGUGGAGUGGUCAGGCCAGGCAGUGUCUUACUUGGAUGGUAAAGAUUUCUAAUAAGGAGACCCAACACCUGGGGAAGAAUGUUCCAGGGAGAGGGAAGGAGCAAAGGCCCCAGAACUAGAGGUUGAGGAGUGACAAAGAGAGCCUGUGUGGCUGAAGCAGAGAGGUGAGAGGUGGGGGAGAGAGGACAUGCAAAUGAGUGG